UACAGAGGUGGCAAGCGUUGUUCGGAAUUACUGGGCGUAAAGGGCGCGUAGGCGGCCUUCUAAGUCAGACGUGAAAUCCCCCGGCUUAACCGGGGAACUGCGUCUGAUACUGGAUGGCUUGAGUUUGGGAGAGGGAUGCGGAAUUCCAGGUGUAGCGGUGAAAUGCGUAGAUAUCUGGAGGAACACCGGUGGCGAAGGCGGCAUCCUGGACCAACACUGACGCUGAGUGAGCGAAAGCCAGGGGAGCAAACGGG
rnacentral:rRNA from 1 species